rnacentral:rRNA from 1 species
UUACUUUGGAAGCCCUCUUAGUAAAAACCUUGUUUGCGUUAGGUCCUCUGAACCUCACCUGCAGUACUACUCCUGUAGUUAUGGUAACAAUGUGGGUGUCGGGAACAACGGCAUGUUUGACCUGGUUAAUGAUCUCGAACGCGUGCGGUUAAUUUAAUGGUCCAUGAAAGCACUACUCCUGUAGUUAUGGCAACAAUGUGGGUGUUGGGGACGACGAUAUGUAUGACCUGGUUAAUGAUCUCGAGCGCGUGCGGUUAACUUAAUGGUCCCGGAUCGAACCUCUUCCUACCUGUAACCUCGUUCUUGUUCGUACCUCUACUACCGUACGUGUUCCCCUUGUUCUUGCCUCAAUGUUCACUACUAAAGUCCUACAACUUCGGUAGUAUUACAUACGUACUUCGGAACCUGCUUUAUAUGUUCUACGGUGAAGUAUUGAAAGCAGGUCUCCCAUAAGAUCCACGACGCAGUGGAAUAAUAACCCGGUCCGGGUACAUAAAAGCUUUAUGAAGUCAUAUCCGACAAAAAUCUCAGGCAUACACACCCCUUUGUUCUCUAUCCCAACCAAAGCCUGGAGAAGGGGUUCCCGGUGCUUUAAGGGGGGGGGAGAAGGAGGUAUAUAUGUCGGGAAUCCCGCAGCAAAUCUGAAACCCAAAACAAAUCUGAUUUCAAGCUGUAUCGAUGUUGAAGCGCAUGAAGCAAACACAAGUUGCUGGUCUGUUUCCGCAGUGUCUUGGGGUGGAACUAGUUAUUUCGAAAGGAGAAUAUAAGCG